rnacentral:rRNA from 1 species
AACGGACGCUGGCGGCAUGCCUAACACAUGCAAGUCGAACGAGACCUUCGGGUCUAGUGGCGCACGGGUGCGUAACGCGUGGGAAUCUGCCCUUGGGUUCGGAAUAACAGUUAGAAAUGACUGCUAAUACCGGAUGAUGACUUCGGUCCAAAGAUUUAUCGCCCAGGGAUGAGCCCGCGUAGGAUUAGCUUGUUGGUGAGGUAAAAGCUCACCAAGGCGACGAUCCUUAGCUGGUCUGAGAGGAUGAUCAGCCACACUGGGACUGAGACACGGCCCAGACUCCUACGGGAGGCAGCAGUGGGGAAUAUUGGACAAUGGGCGAAAGCCUGAUCCAGCAAUGCCGCGUGAGUGAUGAAGGCCUUAGGGUUGUAAAGCUCUUUUACCCGGGAUGAUAAUGACAGUACCGGGAGAAUAAGCCCCGGCUAACUCCUUGCCAGCAGCCGCCGUAACAC